rnacentral:tRNA from 1 species
CAGAAAAUAGUUUAAUAAAAAUAGUAAUUUUGGAGAUUAUUGAUAAAGAAUUUCUUUUUUUCUGA